rnacentral:lncRNA from 1 species
UUGUGAUUUGACUCAUUCUCGCAAGCCAGCUGAUUCCUUUUACCUCCAGCUUCACUUCGGUAAAUUUAAAUUUUAUUCGAUUAUCCGUAUUUGCUUUUAAUUUCUCGUGGUGUUGACGGGCUAUUGUAUAUGGAUUCUACAAAACUUUCUGAUGAAUCAAUUAUAGAUUAUAUCUCGUAUUUUCUUGAAAUUUUGAUGCAUCUGGGUUACAAUGCAUAUUGUUGAAGAUAUAGUGUACAAGCAGCUAAAGAAUUCCAUUUUAAGGAGGAAAACAAGAGGAUAAAUUUGGAAGAGAAUUGACUAAGAUCAUGAAUGAUUUAGAAGUAUUUGUUUCACUGUAUAACAUGAAUUCAAGCAAGAAAAAUGAUGCGAGACUACAUUUUGUUUAAGCUUUUUAAUUGGUCUACAUUUUCUUCAUUUUAGACUCCUCUGAAUCAUUUGAGCGGUAUGUUUGUUAGUUGUUAGUAUUGUUACUGUUUUAAGGGAUUUCGUGCCUGAUUCCGAAGUACAAAAACCUGCAUGCUGCACCAUCACUUGUCUAUGUUCAACUCAUUUGAUCAGGAACCUUACCGACAAAUAUUUUGACCAAGGAUGUAUGGAUUGAGAUACAAGCCUGUUUUGGACAAAGUUGGAUCAUGAGAUAGCAUAGAUAGUGUUAUUUUGUGUCAUAGGUUAGGCACUCAUAAAAUAUUUCAAUAUGUUGUCAUGUUAGAUCGUUUACAGCAAUCUCUUUGGUGCCAAGUUAUUCUUUAUACCUGCCUUGACAUCUUAGUUGCUAACUGUCGGAAGGGGGACAAUGCAAACAAGGUCCAAGGGAAACAUAAUUUGUGAUUUACUAGCUUUGCGGUUAGUUCUUGGAGCAGCAUUUAGUUGAAUGUAUAUAUUGUCCUCUUUUAUUUCAUACAGUUAGUGUUCAGUCCCAUUUGGUUUAAUUCCAACCCUAUUAAUCCAUUUUCUUCGAGUUUCGAUGUAUGUGGAUGUUUUAUCCAUUCAUUUACUAUUCUCAAGUUUACUUUUCCAUGUUUCUUUUCUUAAGUCUAAUGGUUUAUUUAAUUGUGAUUCAACUGUUUUUUGCUUACUACUGUACUGUGAAUGAAGAAGGUGAAGUACCUAGCCAUUCAUGAAAAACUUCUGAAUGUUACUCUUUUGCAUGUGAUCCUAGAAUUAGCACAUCAUAACAAAUAGUAGGACAAAACCAACAGUCCUAAUGGUGAACUAGGAAACCGAGUAUUAACUAUUAAUUCAUGCUCAAUUUAAUUGACGUAAAUCACCUAAAGUUAACCAGAAUGUGGAUACGAUUCCUUUAUACAAAUAAAUUAGUUUGCAGAGUAUGAUAUCCAAACCUUAGCUGUAUGCUAGACUUAAAAUUCUCCAAAAUCACUGGAAUGGCUUGCUCUUCAAAUAAAAUAUCCUUCUCUAUAACUGAAGCACCAGUCAACAGAAAAGGCUGUUAGAGUACUAAGAGCUUUGUUUUCGCAUAAGAUAAAAGGAGCAGAAAAUCAUUAUUCUUCCCAUCCCUUCUCACAGAAGGGGCACAUGUCUUGUUUCCUUGUUUGAGAUUAUUAUCUGUAAAACUGGAGUAUGCUUUGGGUACUUGGGAUUAUUGUUUACUAAGAUGAAUUAGAAACUUGGGAUAUCCUAAAGUCCUUGAUUAUUUCUGCAAUUUGAGAUAACUUGCUUGAUUCAUAUCGUGUUGAAAGGGCUAGCAUUGCAGAAAUCCUUGUCUCAAUACAGCCAAUUGAAGUUUCAAUUUACCACUCUAACUGGCUUGCCGAUUAUAUUAUCUUCUAAUCUUCCUUUAAAUGCUACAAUUGAAUACUCAUGAGUCAUACUAGAUUGCUCACUUAUCCACGUGUAAAUACAAUAAUGACUACUGAUUCCUCUCGAGGUCAUAGAUUAAAGAGAUGGUGGCUCAUAAUCCAAAAGCAGAGAUUUCACCCAGAUAAGGAGGAUGUGAAUUAUUUGGAGUUGGAUUUCAACACAAGUCUCUCAAGCGGAUCAUAUAACAAAAGGACCAGCAUGUUAAAUUCAUCAUUUUCUUGAACUCAUACUGGAAGAGUUGGAUUAUAGUUCAUCCAAUCUUCAUUCAUUUCAACUUGUUUGUUGAUUUUGAAUGAAAAGAUUAGUUAAACAUAGAAACAGUCAAGACAACAAAUAUAAAACGAUACCUAGAGGAAACUUCCAAACUGCACUUAGAAGCCGUGACUUUGCUUGGGAAGAGAUAUGGAAAAGGAAAGAACGCUUCCAAACUAUAACUAGCUAUUAACUGAAGCUGAGAGUCUUUGUAUUUUCUAUCUGGAUGCUAAUAUUCUACUAUUUGGUAUCCUAAUAAAUGUUUUUUCUUUUUCCUUUAUUUUUCUCCUCAAAUUAGCUUUCAGUGAGUAUGAUCUUCUCUUUUGUGGAUUGUGGUUAUGAUGAUACUCCUGCACUCUAAUAUGAAAAUUUGUUAGCUACAUCUUGGUAUCAUCUGUAUCAUGGAGUAAUGGGAUACUCAUACCACAUUUACUAAAUAGAUACAGAAAUGGUGGGAUAUAACGUGAAGAGGAUGAGAAAGCUGUAAGAAAUAACUAGCUGCUAUGCUCAUUCACUUCUUUGACUAUCAUCACAUGCUAGCAGUUUACCUAAUUUAGGUUUGGAAUUGAGUUAAAGUAGAUUAAACUGCUAGUAUAUAAUUUAGGUUUGGAAUUGACUAUCAUCACAUGCUAGUAGAUUAUGUUGAGUUUAGAAGCCCUUCGGCUUCAUCUACUGGAAGUUGAUAUGAUUCCAAAUAUGAGUAGAAAAAGUGUCUGAACCUAUAUGUCUUACUUGUAAUUUUGCACUGCUUAUCAAAUUGUCCACCAGAUUUGCUAGAGGAAAGGAAACAAUUAGAGUCAAACAUGAUCAUUUGUACGUUGUCGACAUUUUCAGUCAUCAACACCGACAAUUAAUUAAGUUGACAAUUUAGCCUUAUUGUUUAAGUAACUCUUGACUAAGAGGGGCUACUUCUGAUCUAUUCACACCAUUGUUAGUUUCAUGAAUUUCCUCCUUGAAAUAAAUAGGGUUGUAAUUUCCUUGCCCCCACUUCCUUCAAUGGAACCUGGUAAACAAAUGAACAAGGUCAUAGAUGUGCUAUUCAUUGACCUUAUAAUUUUUAGGUAGAAAUCAGUGUUCUUUCUCUUGGACAAGUUAGCAAAACAAGUCGAUAUGCAUUCAUUUUACCAUUAUCAGAAUUUGAUGUUAAAAGUGGACUGGUAACACCAUAAUUUUGCUACUUUAUUGCCAUGAGUGAGGGACCUUUUGGCAAAAAAUGGUAAUAAUGUUAAAGUUUAUAACUGCCAGUUCCUUUGAUUCACUACUCUGACAUAAUAGCUCUCCAAUCCAAUGUUUGUGCUUUCAGAAGGUUGAUUAGCUAAGAACUCUCUUGCUGCACCGACUUCCCCUAGCAGAAGCGUCUUCCAAAACCUACAUCGCCGCACAUGCAGAAACACGUAAGAAAUCCCUCAUAAGUCAUGCAGAAAGAUCUAUGAAACAGCGCUAGUGCCUUAAUUUUCUAGUGUGGAUGUUGAAGUUCCUUCAAGGCUGGAGACAUCGUAAUUGGGCUAAUAAUAAGGUAUUGAAUUUUGGAAAAAUAAUAGUAAUGAUAAAGGUAGUUAAAAGAUGGACAGCUAUGUGCAUAUAUUUUUCUUGGCAGAAUUUAAUGACGUCUGAUGGGAUUCAGUGUCCCACAUUGGCCCUUCAUGCAUCUGUUUUCAAUAUGGUAGAUAUAAGCAGGCUGGCAUCCCCUACAUAUUAUACUCCUAAAUUCUUAGCUAAAAGUUAGACUUGGUUGCUAUGCCAAUACUCUUUUAACUACUACUAAUUCUUUAAUAUUAUUGUCUCACAUUUAUUGUGCACAUUCUUUCAUUGAUACAGUAUACAGACAAGAUAACUACGUCGCGUUUUAUUUUUCAGAUCAUGAAACUAAAAUCUUCAGAUUCCCCUCUUUUUCUUUUCUCUUUCAGCAGAAAGUUGAAGGAAUCCAUGAUUCUUCCUACAAGGUAGUUAUAUUUAGUUUUGGAAUUCUUGAUUUUUUUUUUUUUAAUUAUUACUAGUAGUAUAUUUUUUCAGAAUUAAAUGGUCCUUUGUGUUAGAUGGGCUACAGCUAAUUGAACCAUUUAGUUCAACAGGCCUGAAGACUAAAAUAUAUAGUCAAAGUAAUGUGAUGAGUGAUGACUACUGCAAGAGUGUUUUUGUAAAGGCAGAAAACGAGGGUGGGAUCGGACCCACGUUACUCAAUAUUGAUGCAUUACAAAAGACCCAUCCCAAUUUUGAUUUCUACAGCUUUAGAUUCUUCAACUUUACACUUUUUGUUCACCCAACUUUUGAGUUUUUUUUCUUUCUUUUUUCCCAUAUUUAUUUCAACAACACUACAUUGCAUAUACGAGACAAUAUUCUCAUUGAGUUAUGUUUUGCGCUAAGGAUAAACAUAUUUGGUGUGGUAGUAUAUAUUGGAAGUGUUAACAACAAAUAAAAGUAAAAGGAUGGGUUAAUUGCUAGACAAAAUUACGAAUUUUGAUCUGAUCACAUUUUGAAGUGUAUAUUGG